rnacentral:rRNA from 1 species
AGUGCAGCCAACUGUGUGAA